CCUGGCGAUCUAAUAAAUCUCAAUCUGCUUGUGACAUGUCUUCAGGUUUCUUUCCUCUAAGGGGUAGAUGAAGCCUUUUCUGAUAUAAAUAAUCCUCAAUCUGCAUCUUUCAAAAAUCAAAAUCUUUUUCAUCGAACUUGUCGAUCUUGACCUUUCCUUCGUCUCCUGCCAUUGCUCCCACUCUUUUCCUCAAACCGUGCUUUGAUACCAGUUGUUAGGGGGCAAUGCACAGUGGAUCACAGUAGUCACAGGAGAAAGGAAAGAAAAAUUGAAAAAUACACAA
rnacentral:lncRNA from 1 species